AAUGAACGCUGGCGGCAUUCCUAACACAUGCAAGUCGAACGAAGGCUUCGGCCUUAGUGGCGCACGGGUGCGUAACGCGUGGGAAUCUGCCCUCAGGUUCGGAAUAACAGCGAGAAAUUGCUGCUAAUACCGGAUGAUAUCGCGAGAUCAAAGAUUUAUCGCCUGAGGAUGAGCCCGCGUAGGAUUAGCUAGUUGGUGUGGUAAAGGCGCACCAAGGCGACGAUCCUUAGCUGGUCUGAGAGGAUGAUGAGCCACACUGGGACUGAGACACGGCCCAGGAUCCUACGGGAAGCAGCAGUGAGGAAUAUUGGACAAUGGGCGAAAGCCUGAUCCAGCAAUGCCGCGUGAGUGAUGAAGGCCUUAGGGUCGUAAAGCUCUUUUACCCGGGAUGAUAAUGACAGUACCGGGAGAAUAAGCUCCGGCUAACUCCGUGCCAGCCGCCGCAGUAA
rnacentral:rRNA from 1 species